CCCAUCUGCCCACAUGCCGAAUCUGGGGAUUUGUUGACUGUAGACUUGUCAGGCUGCACAAUACCAUCAUAUAUAAGUGAAGCUAAACUGCUGUUUUAGAGUGCUGACUUGCUUAUCUUUGAUUUAAUGUGAUACCACUUACUACCCACUGUUUUGUUUUAUUAGUUAUUAGAAUUUCUGUCACCUCUCCCUACUUAUGGAAUCGUUUUAAG